AAAAUUAACAACACAAGCUAUAGAAGUGAGAAAAAGAAAAGAUGAACUCUAGGGUGUCUAGGGCAAACUAGAAAAGCUUUCAACAAGAAUAAUGCUAUAAUUUUUGGUUCCUGAAAAAAUUCAUCAUAGAAAUAGCCAAGAAGAUAUUCUAAAACCAAUGCCAUAGUAACUAGAAAUUUCCACAAUUAUUCACAAGAGUAAAAUUAUUUUCUAGGCCCUAGAAAAUAUACAUAUCACAUUGAUUACAUAAGGGCCUGCAGUGAACUUUUAAGUAUUUGUAUUGCAUAUUAAAACACAAUUUUAUAACAUACCAAAGCAUAGUCAAUACUACAAGGUUGGCUACAAUAAACAAUACACAUCCACGCUGGGCGCGGUGGCUCAUGCCUGUAACCCUAGCACUUUGGGAGGCCCAGGUGGGUGGAUUGCUAGAGUCCAGGAGUUCAAGAUCAGCCUGGGGAGCAUGGCAAAACCCCGCCUCUACAAAAAAUAUGGAAAUUAGCCAGGUGUGGCAUGUACUUGUAGUCCCAGCUACCAGGGAGGCCGAGGCAGAAGAAUCGCUUGGCUCCAGGAGGUUGAGGCUGCAGUGAGCUGUGGCGGCGCCGCUGCAUUCCAGCCUGGGUGAGAGUGAGACCCUGUUUCAAACAACAACAAACAAAACACAUGCACUGUUACUGACAGCCAUCAGAGCUCAGAACCAUGCUGCUGCUCCUGCUGCUGCUGCUGCUGCUUGGCUGUUUUCAUCUGGGCCAGUGGAAUGUAAGGGAGAGAUGGCAAUUGAGGUGCAAAAGCUCAUCAAACACGAUCUGUGGAGGCACAGAAUUAAAGUAUGUCGAGAGUGGAAAGGAUCUUUGCUAUGAGCUGCUCCAACCUCUAAGAGCCGCCACCACCACCACCACCACUGACAAGACAGAGCACACGCCCUGUGCCUGGAAUUAUGACAGAGAUGGUUUAAUUUCAUGUAAUUGUCAGAACUGUGUGAGGAGCUGGUCAGCUCUGACCUGGAGUGUGUCUACCCUGACCGUGUGACACCGGGAUCAAGACCCUCUCCUGGGGUCUUGAGGACGCCACAUGUGGGUGAGGCAGCCAUUGAGCAAGGCAGACCCUGCUGAGGGUCUUGUGGUGGGCAUGGCCAUGUGCCACUCAGAUCCCCCUUCAAGGCGGGCCUGGAUGCCGCAGCUGUGGGGAGUGCCUCACCUGCAAGUGCCUCACCCCACCCCAGACCAGGCCAACCUUCACAGACUGAUUGAGGCUGGUACAUAAAGGCCUGGGGUUUCAGCCUAUGUGGGACCAUUCUGAGGGGCUGUUUUAGCCCUAGAGGUCACCGCGGAGUUGGCCGAGGUUGUCCUUGGGCCUAAAUCCCAGCUUGAUUUCUCAGUCCACCCCUGCCUCCUUCUCCUCCCUUCCUCAGGCGUUGCUCUAAAGAGCGCUUGCUCCUAAGCCUCCUGCACAUGGAACUCCACCAUGGAAUCUGCUUCCCAGGAACUCACCCUGGGACCAGCCCCUCUGAGACUCAAGUCAACAUUUGGUCCUAGGGCUGCAAAGAGGAGGUGCUAAGAGGCCAAAGGCUACUUCCACCUGGAGAACGGGCCCCGCGUGCCAGCUCCCCCAAGGCCUGGCCAGGAUGCUCUGCUCGGAGGCCUGUCCUGACUUCCUCUGCUCAUUGCCACCUGAAAUUACCUAACCAACACCUUUCUUCCUCCCACCCUUCCACAAAUACUUAUUGAGCAUCUGCUAGGUGCCAGUUACUGUUCUGCACAAUGGCAAUUACAGCCAUGAAAGAAAUAAAACAGAAACAUUCCUGUUCUCAUGAAGCUUCCAUUCUAGCAGGGGAGCAGACAAAUAUCAAAUCAAUAAUCAAAAUAAUGUCACUUGGUGAUAGUACUGUGGGGAGGAAAAAGCAGGGAGUGGAGAGGGUUAGGGAGCAGGAUGGAGGAGACACAGUGAACAGGAAAGGGCUCACUGAAAAGGUGACUUUCGAGAAAAACCUGAAGGAGGUGAGGGACUGGGUCACAAAGCUAUUUUGGGAAAAAGCCUUCAAACAGCAGGAACAGCAAAUGCAAAGACCCUGAGGCCAGAGCUUGCUGUGUGUGUUCAAGGAAGAGCAAGGCUGCUCCAGUUGCAGUCGAGGGAGUAAGCAGUAAGAAGUGACCUCAGGGACUGUGGGAGGGAUCAUGGGACUGCAGGUUGCGCAGGCCCCCUAGGCCACUGUAGGGACUUUGGCUUGGACUCAGAAUGCGAUGAGUCACCAGAGGGCUCUGAGCACAGGAGAAAUGAACAUUUUAAAGAAUCACUAUAGGCUGGGAGUGGAGGCUCAUGUCUGUAAUCCCACCACUUUGGGAGGCGGAGGUGGGAGGAUCACUUAAGUCCAGGAGUUCAAGACCAGCCUGGGCAAUGUGGUGAAACCCUGUCUCUACCGAAACACAGAAACACAGACACACACACACACACAGACACAGACACAGACACACACACACACACACAGACACAGACACAGACACACACACACACACACACACACACAAAUUAGCUGGGCAUGGUGGUGCACGUCUGUGGUCCCAGCUACUCAAGAGGCUAAGGUGGGAGGAUGGCUUGAGCCCAGGGGACAGAGGCUGCAGUAAGCCAAGAUCACACCACUGCACUCCAGCCUGGUGACAAAGUGAGAUCCUGUCUAAUAAUAAUAAUAAUAAUCAUAAUCAUAAUCAUAAUCAUAAUCAUAAUCAUAAUCACUAUGGCUGCUAUGUGGAGAAUGACCGAAGGGGUAAGGGCAGGAACGGGAGGCCCCUUAGACUGUUCCAGUGAGUCCAGGUGGGAGGUGGUUGUGGCUCGGGUGAGGGCUGGGGUCAGAUUCUGGGGAUAUUUUGAAGGUGGAGCUAAUGGGAUUUGCUGUUGAUCCUUCCAGGGGAGACAGCUGUGUAGCCGGCAGCGUUGUGCACAUGCGUGCAGCCGGCAGCAUUUAUCAAUGAGGCAAACAUCGUGCAGUGGCCUUGGAGCCACACACACCUGGAGCCACACACACCUAGGUCUGGAUCUCAACUCCACGCAUCCUAGUUGCUCAUCUCCAGCAGGCUACGUCUAACUCUCCCAGCCUCCAUUUCUUAUAAACUGGGGAUAACAAUUUUUAUGUUAUGAGAUUACUGUGAAAAUUAAGUGAGAUAAUGUAAAAGAAGGUCUGGCACAAAGUUAAUUAUGAUGAGUUUAAAUAAUGUGGUUUCCUGUGAGUCCUGAAUAUACAGCAGAGAUCAGUCGGGGGAGGGGCGAAUGAGCAAAGGAUCCCUGCAGGGGAGGCUGGGAUCCUGCAGGAGGCACUUGCCAGAGCUGGGGGCAGUCAAGACGACCCAGGAGGGCAGUGGUGGGGAGACGGUGAGAGUCCACGGCCCACUUGCCUUCCCAAGUGAGGAUGGGGAAUUCCAAAGCCCAGGAAGACGCGGGUGGGGCGACCUUUAGAGAAAAGACAGUCAGAAGGGAAUUCCUUGGAUAAAGGCGGAGAUGUGGAAAAUGGGAACGCCACCAAAAUCUAGAGAGGAUGAGGUCAUCCCAGCUGAAGCCAAUCAAAACUUUCCCUGGAGCAGGCAAAAAAAAUAAAUAAAUAAAUGGAAGGGUUUUAGUAGGCCAGAAACUGGAGAUUUCUAGCAGCUGCCAAGAAAGGAAGCGAGCCCUGGGCCCAGAGCCCAUAAGCCCUGGGAGGCCCCACCCUGGCUAGAAAAAGAGACUGGUGGGUGCUGGGGCGCAGCCCAGAAGACAAAAGGGGAGGGGAAGCCAUCUGAGUUGUCUGGGGGUGGUGAUGGGGUGCGCUCCUGGAAAAGCCAUUAGAUCCUCGUCGGAGGCGGCCAGCAGAGCUCUGUGUCCCACUGCUCUGUAGGCAUUUUUCCUUAAGAAAGACAAGAAACAAGAUUAGUAUUCCUUCAAUCAGAACUGUUCUACUCAUUUAUACUUAGGAUGCUUUCCCAAUAAACCAGGGUCUAGCCAGGAGUUUAAACCGAGGGUCUGCCCUUUUUACCUACCUAGAGAGAGUGCUGGGAUUGAAUAAAUGUGGGUUCAAAUCCUGCUUGAUUGUGGGCAGGGGGCUUGACCCCGGAGUGCUGUGACAUGCAGAUCACACUUGAUUGUGGGCAGGGGGCUUGACCCCAGAGUGCUGUGACAUGGAGAUCACACUUGAUUGUGGGCAAGGGGCUUGACCCCUGAAUGCUGUGACAUGGAGAUCGCACUUGAUUGUGGGCAGGGGGCUUGACCCCUGAAUGCUGUGACAUGGAGAUCGCACUUGAUUGUGGGCAGGGGGCUUGACCUCAGAGUGCUGUGACAUGGAGAUCGCACUCACUUGCAUGUGUUUGGGGGUGGCUGGCUUCUCCCCUCCACCCCCAGGGUGUUAGAGAAUUGAAGGAGACAUAACGACCGUGAGAGUGGACACUUGGGCACACAGUCCAUUCUUUCCCGUGUCAGGAAAGUCACAGGCGCUGGCUUCCAGGGGUAGGAGUGGAGGGUCUGGAAUAGUGCCCCUGGUCCCAGGGCAGGAGUGUGACCCUUCUUCAGUGUCCUGCAGUUCAGACUCCCUCCCCCUGUGGUUCCACCAUCUGUUCCCACUUCUCCAAGGUCCCAAAUAAAUGGCAUAGAGCCCUCAGGAGGGGAGGCAUCCUUUUCCCAGACUCCCAGACCCCAUGUGGUCCAGGGUGCUGACGUCGGCCAGAAGCAGCCGUGGCGGAGCUUUUC
rnacentral:lncRNA from 10 species